AACUACGUGCCAGCAGCCGCGGUAAUACGUAGGUGGCAAGCGUUGUCCGGAAUUACUGGGUGUAAAGGGAGCGUAGGCGGGAUGCCAAGUCAGCUGUGAAAACUAUGGGCUUAACUUGUAGACUGCAGUUGAAACUGGUAUUCUUGAGUGAAGUAGAGGUUGGCGGAAUUCCGAGUGUAGCGGUGAAAUGCGUAGAUAUUCGGAGGAACACCGGUGGCGAAGGCGGCCAACUGGGCUUUAACUGACGCUGAGGCUCGAAAGUGUGGGGAGCAAACAGGAUUAGAUACCCUGGUAGUCCACACUGUAAACGAUGAUAACUAGGUGUGGGGGGUCUGACCCCUUCCGUGCCGCAGCUAACGCAAUAAGUUAUCCACCUGGGGAGUACGACCGCAAGGUUGAAACUCAAAGGAAUUGACGGGGACCCGCACAAGCAGUGGAUUAUGUGGUUUAAUUCGAAGCAACGCGAAGAACCUUACCAGCACUUGACAUCCGACUAACGAAGUAGAGAUACAUUAGGUGCCCUUCGGGGAAAGUCGAGACAGGUGGUGCAUGGUUGUCGUCAGCUCGUGUCGUGAGAUGUUGGGUUAAGUCCCGCAACGAGCGCAACCCCUGUUGCCAGUUGCCAGCAUUAAGUUGGGGACUCUGGCGAGACUGCCGGUGACAAGCCGGAGGAAGGCGGGGAUGACGUCAAAUCAUCAUGCCCCUUAUGACCUGGGCUACACACGUGCUACAAUGGACAGAGCAGAGGGAAGCGAAGCCGCGAGGUGGAGCGAAACCCAUAAAACUGUUCUCAGUUCGGACUGCAGUCUGCAACUCGACUGCACGAAGAUGGAAUCGCUAGUAAUCGCGAAUCAGCAUGUCGCGGUGAAUACGUUCUCGGGCCUUGUACACACCGCCCGUCACACCAUGAGAGUCGGUAACACCCGAAGCCGGUGGCCUAACCGCAAGGAAGGAGCUGUCUAAGGUGGGACUGAUGAUUGGGGUGAAGUCGUAACAAGGUAUCCCUACGGGAACGUGGGGAUG
rnacentral:rRNA from 1 species